AUGGCUCAUGCUGGGAGUUCCAUGUCCUUUCACUGCACUAUAGAGGCAAGGUUUGGCAUGAGCAGCUACACUAUGCAAUGGUACAAGCAAGCUUAUUAUGGCGCACCUGUACAGUUCCUUAUGAUGGAGUACGAACAGGCUACAAAGAAAAUGAACAUUGUCCUUGUCAAAGCCGAGAAUAAGUUCAGCUUGCACAUUUCAGACCUGACGCUGCAGGACAGUGCCAUUUAUUACUGUGCUGCCAGUGACACUGGCACUCAAGCAUAUUUUGGAAAUGGGACAAAACUGACCGUUUUAGAUCCCAACAUGACCAUCACCAGUCCAACAAUAAACAUGCUGUCACCUUCUCCAAAAGAGAUCUGCAACGCCCAGAAAUAUUGGGACAAUGUUACUUUGGUGUGUUUAGUCACAGAUUUUUAUCCCGAUCAUGUUAGCAUUAUUUGGCAAGUGAAUGGGAAAGAGAGAAACAAUAGUGUUGCGACAGACCAUGCGGCCCAACAAGAUCCAAACACUAGGCUUUACAGCAUGUCCAGCAGACUGAGUGUCAGUCAAACUGUGUGGACCAACGUCAAAAACAAAUUCACUUGCAUCGUUACUUUCUACGAUGGAAGUGACUACGUGAAGCUUUCACACAGCAUCAUAUAUUCACCAGGCAAAAUACCAGUGAGUGUGUAUGCCACAAUGCAAGUUGGAUACUUGAUGUUUCUUAGCAAGAGUCUGCUGUAUGCUGUGUUCGUCAGCCUUUUGGUGUGGAAAUUCAAGGCUACAAAAGAGAAGACACUGAUGACAGAAAACAGAGACAUUAUGAUCAGCUAGAUAAUAUUCAGCUAACAUGCCUAUAAAUAAAAGUGUCAAGCACUGUCACAAAUUACGGAAGUUUUAGCUAAUGUAUAUGAUUAUAUUUGCAUUCCGCAGCUUUGAUAGAUGUGAUUUUAGUGCAUUAGUGCCAUUGUUAUAGCUGAGGAUAAAAGUUAUAGUGCAUGCUAAUAUGUUCUGCAUAGUGUAUAACUGUACUAUGUAACCUUUCAUUAUUUGCUAUACAUUUCUUACCAUACAAUAUCAUUUUCCCUUUAGUGACAUCAUUUAGUACAUUAGUUAGUAUACAACAAAUCAUGACCUUCAGCAUUAAUAUGCCAUAAGUAACAUUAACAAAGUAAUUAACAAUUGUAUCCAUUCUUUUAAUAAUUAACCAAAUAAGCCAAAUAAUCAACACCUGAGUUAACUAAUGUUUAUAUAUUCAAUAUACAUUCAUACAUCAUACAUUCAAAGUAAAAUAAGUCCACAAUGUUGAACAUGAACACCUUAGUUCACAUGUUUGCAGUUGAUAAUUGGCUUAAAAAGUAAAAGUUCAGAACUGAGGCCCCAAUAUUUCAGUAUUUACAUAGUAUGUCAUAGUUAGUCAGCAUUUAGGAACUGCAAUAUCAUUUUGCUUAUUUGUAUGGACUUAUUUUUAGUCGCUGAUUGAAUAAACAGUAGUCAAUGCCUGAGUAUUUAGUUAACAUUUAAGAAACAUUGAUUAGUACAUGUGUUAUUUUACUUUGUUACUUUUAUAACCAUUGCAGUUCAUUAAUAUUAACUCAUGCAGUAAGUAAUGUUAGUUAAAGGAACCUUAAUGUAAAUUGUUACUAAAAAUGUUCCUUAGUCUGAAGAGAACAAUAAAGCAAUACUGACUAAAACUGUUUUCUGCCCACAUUUUCUUUCUAUUACAUUGUACUGCUCCCAUUACUGUAAAUGAAUGUUUUAAUGAAAAAAAAUAUUUUGUUGCACAGCAUAAUGGCUUCUCAGAAACAGCAUUUCUACUAAACUCUGUAUUUCUACAGUGGAAAGUCUGCAGAUUUGAAACUGUGUAGGUGUGUUCGAUGGGUCAUAUCUGAAUUUUCCAGCUUAACAUGAAGAUUAUUAAUGCUGUAUGAUUGGUACAUGCACAGUAUGGUGAAUGACUAAUGGAAAUGUAGUUCAUAUGUAAAUCAGAUGUUAUAAUGCCAGAAAAACACAUCAAAACACAUAUGUUUAUGUGGAAACUUACUUUUUUCAGUUUUACUGAAAUUGCCUUGUGAUAAUAUAAUGAUAAUAUAAAAUGUUUUUUUUUUCAUUACCAAAAAGCACCCCUAAAGAAAAAACAGCAGGUUUGUACAUGCACUGUUAUUUUUAUUCACUUAUCGAAAAUUUAAGAUCAACCCCAAUGUAAGGCCUAUGUGUUAAAGUAUGUCAGUGAGGGCUGAGGGCAGGAUGUGGUAGCUGCUUGCUGAGAGCAGGGUGAAGGUGUAGGGGCAGACAGAGGAGAGGAUGUGGUAAGAGCAGUGUCAGAAUGAAGCUUUUGUUCCACCCAGUUCUUCACCACAGAGCUGCUUUAUGCUAACACCUGCUGUUGCGAACAAAGCCUCAGAGCUCACAGGGCCCUGCAAAGUAGAAAGCCUGCAGUGAGGAAACUGGUGCAGAGCAUUUUCAUUUGUGAAAUGUGUGUACAACAUUUCAAGUUUGCUCAUUGUUUGUGUCACACAUGUCAACAUGACAUCUUUAGUCUACCUAGUUUGAAACACAAGACAAAACAUUUUUGUUCUGCAAUAAUCAAAUGAUUAUUGUUUUGAAAUUUAAAUGAGGUUUGCAUGUUACAUCUAGAUUGAUGUUUUUAAAAAUGCUCUUUGAUUUCUGUCAGAAGGACAUAUAUUCUCCUCAGCCAAAACAUGCCAGAUAAAGCCUAAUGAAAUAAAAACAAGUGCAAAUUGAAAUAUGACUUUGAUUCUUUACUGUGAGAAAGGGAGCACAUGAACAAACAUAGCUGUGGUCCUUCCAAUCAAGGUCAUGUGGCCUUAGAAAGUAGUCGUCAUCCUAAUGACUUCUUGUGGUUUUUGUACAGCUCUGUGAUGACACUGGGAUGCUGUGGGGACUGGCUGCACAGUACCACACUGCAGAGCCGAUCUCACUCACUCCAUCAGACUCCAGAACAAUAUGAAGCCUAUCAGGUCUGUGAGAUUUAAACUCACCCUCGCUGGACGGAUUCACUGAACCAGCAUUUAUAGAGUAGAAUAUCAGUGUGAACCCUUCUGCAGGAGUCCAGCGGUACCAGUAAAGAUAUGGGUCAUUAGUACCACUUAUGAAGCAGGAGACCUUUAGUGAUGAUCCUUUUGAAAGAACCAGGUCCUCUGGGUCCUGAUGGACCUGUAUGAGCUCCAAACCUGUGGUGAUGAAAAUGAAUUAGUUUGAAUUCUGUUGUAAAAGUUCUCAGUAAUUCUGAAGCAAUCAUGUUAUUAGCUUACAUGUAGUCAAAAGCCAAUGUAUUGUCAGAAUAAAAAGAGUUAAAUGCAAAUGCAUCCUGUUAAGUAGCACAACAUACAGUAUCAGUUGUAGUAACUAGAACUCAGUGCUGAAACAGACUGGUACUUAUUAAUGGGGUGGCACCCUGUGCUACUUCACCCCUACUAUCACAGCUAGUGAAUUACAUAUGCUGUUGUUGAUCUCAGCCUUUUUUGCUUUUACGGUUCCUGGAAA